UACGUAGGGUGCAAGCGUUGUCCGGAAUUAUUGGGCGUAAAGGGCUCGUAGGCGGUCCAUCGCGUCGGGAGUGAAAAGCUGGGGCUUAACCCCAGUCCUGCUUUCGAUACGGGUGGACUAGAGGUAGGCAGGGGAGAACGGAAUUCCUGGUGUAGCGGUGAAAUGCGCAGAUAUCAGGAGGAACACCGGUGGCGAAGGCGGUUCUCUGGGCCUUACCUGACGCUGAGGAGCGAAAGCGUGGGGAGCGAACAGG
rnacentral:rRNA from 1 species